GCCUAAAUAGCUCAGUUGGUAGAGCAGCGCAUUCGUAAUGCGAAGGUCGCGGGUUCGACUCCUGUUUUAGGCA
rfam:Protochlamydia naegleriophila strain KNic genome assembly, chromosome: cPNK